UACGAAGGGGGCGAGCGUUGUUCGGAAUUACUGGGCGUAAAGGGCGCGCAGGCGGCGAGGUUUGUCAGGCGUGAAAGCCCCGGGCUCAACCUGGGAACUGCGCUUGAAACGGGCUUGCUGGAGACCGGGAGAGGAGAGUGGAAUUCCCAGUGUAGAGGUGAAAUUCGUAGAUAUUGGGAAGAACACCGGUGGCGAAGGCGGCUCUCUGGACCGGAUCUGACGCUGAGGCGCGAAAGCGUGGGGAGCAAACAGG
rnacentral:rRNA from 1 species